rnacentral:rRNA from 1 species
AUUGAACGCUGGCGGCAUGCCUUACACAUGCAAGUCGAACGGCAGCACGGGUGCUUGCCCCUGGUGGCGAGUGGCGAACGGGUGAGUAAUACAUCGGAACAUGUCCUGUAGUGGGGGAUAGCCCGGCGAAAGCCGGAUUAAUACCGCAUACGAUCUACGGAUGAAAGCGGGGGACCUUCGGGCCUCGCGCUAUAGGGUUGGCCGAUGGCUGAUUAGCUAGUUGGUGGGGUAAAGGCCUACCAAGGCGACGAUCAGUAGCUGGUCUGAGAGGACGACCAGUCACACUGGGACUGAGACACGGCCCAGACUCCUACGGGAGGCAGCAGUGGGGAAUUUUGGACAAUGGGCGAAAGCCUGAUCCAGCAAUGCCGCGUGUGUGAAGAAGGCCUUCGGGUUGUAAAGCACUUUUGUCCGGAAAGAAAUCCUUGGCUCUAAUACAGUCGGGGGAUGACGGUACCGGAAGAAUAAGCACCGGCUAACUACGUG